rnacentral:misc_RNA from 1 species
AACGCACAUUGCGCCCGCCAGCACUCUGGCGGGCAUGCCUGUUCGAGCGUCAUUUCAACCCUCGGACCCCCUAGGCCUCGCGCCACGGGGGACCGGUGUUGGGGCUCGGGCUCCCCCAGCGGGCGCCCGUCCCCUAAAUCCAGUGGCGGUCGCGACCCGGCAGCCCCGCGUAGUAGCACACCUCGCGGGACGCGCCGGCCGUGGCCACGCCGUAAAACCACCCACACUCAAGGUUGACCUCGGAUCAGGUAGGAAUACCCGCUGAACUUAA